CCUAUUCUUGAGUCUCUAACUCAAUCCGCCUCCUCUUCCCUUCUUCUCUAGAAAUGCCUCCUUCUUUCUCUGCAACUCUUUCUCUCUCUUAAAAUCAAAUCAUAUCAAUGAAUCUGUAAUGAUAAUUGGAGGGUAUAGAUUCUGAUUUUCUUUUCUUUCAUUUUCACUUUAAUCAUAUCAUUUAAUCUGCGAUGAUAAUUGGAGGGUGUAGAUUCUGAUUUUGUUUCAUCUUUUACUUUAAUCAUUCAAUUCUAUUUACAUGAAAUUAGUUCUCAGAUCUAGUGAUUUUUCAUAAGAUUUUGUAUUUUAAACCCAAUAAUGGGUAUUUUUUAUUUCUGUAAUUUGUUUGUUGUUGCUAAAGAAAUUCAAGGUUUAGAUCUUGAGUUUUGGUUUUAUUUAUCCGGUUGGGUUUCCUCAAAACUUGUUAUCCUGGUUUAAGAUGUUUCUGGUAGUAACCUUAUUCAUGGAUUAAGGAGCUAUUUUGACCAAUCUUUGGACGGUAACUGAAAUUUGUUUAUAUCUGGUCUUUUUCUGUGAUGAUAAUACAAGGAUUAAAGUUAUGAUUGCUAUUCAUUUUCACUGUAUUUAUUCAAUUCUAUUUACUUGAAAUUAGCAUUCAGUUCUCUUUACAUAAAAUUAGUAUUCAGAUUUUGGGAUUUUUCAAUAAAUUUUGUUUUUCAACUCAAUAAUGGCUGUUUCUGAUCUCUUUAAUUUGUUUGUUGUUACCAAAACUAUUACAAAUGAUUCAGAAUUUCAUAUCUUGAAUGUUGGCUUUAUUUAUCCGGUUGGGUUUCCUCAAAAAUUUCUCGGUUUGCAUUGAUUGUGGUAGUAACCUUAUUCAUGGAUUAAGACGUUAUUUUUGACCAAGAUUCGGAAGUAAUUGAAGAUUAUAUCGAUUUUCUGAAGAUCUAUUUUUUUGGUCAGAUUGUAUAAAUUCUUGUAUUUCUUUGAUUUUUGUAAAGGGUCUGAAAAUUUAUGUUAUCUGGAUUUGUUCUAAUGAACAAAUCUGGUUUGAAGAAUGUGUUUGAAAAUUGUCAAAUAUCAGGACCCGGUUUUUAUCAUUUUAGGGAGGGAGGAACGAGAUCCCAAUGAUGAGAAAAGAAAUUUAAACGCAUUGAUGGGUGAUUCAAAGUAGAAAGCGUUCUUUAUCUUUUGUUUUAAAACUGUGGAGAUUGUAAUUUUUUUUCUUAAGGAAUUGAUUAGAUUUGUAUUUUUGUUCUUUUUUUUUCUUUUCUGUAAAGACUAUAAUUUACUUAAGAAAUGAUGUAAAAUGAAUUCUCUGAUAUAAUAAAAUUUAAUUAUUUUCUUAA